UCAGGUGGCAUUCACAGAGCAGUUGAAGAUGGUGGAGCACUGCUUCCGGGCCCAAGAAAUGAGCUCUGGCUGGUGGCAUUGUAUCAUAAUGCAUGUCUGG